GCUGGGCACAGUUGCACGCACCUGUAGUCCCAGCUGCUCAGGAGGCUGAGGUAGGAGAAUCGCUUGAGUCCAGGAGUUCUGGGCUCAAUGUGCUAUGCCGAUUGGGUAUCUGCACUAAGUUCAGCAUCAAUAUGGUGACUUCCCAGGACUGGGGAACCACCAGGUUGCCUAAGGAGGGGUGAACCAGCCCAGUUCAGAAACAGUUAAAACUCCCAUGCUGUGAUCAGUAGUGAGAUUGCAUCAGUGAACAGCCACUGCAGUCCAGCCUGGCAACAUAGUGAGACCCCAUCUCUA
rfam:Nomascus leucogenys chromosome 14, whole genome shotgun sequence.